AUUGUAAGUAUUGCUUGAUAAUAGAUUGGGAGAAGUCAGUGUAAGGAAAUCAAUUUUCAAGUGUAAAGGAUAAGUAAUGGAUAAUGAAAUUGUUAUAGGAAGCGAUAGUGUAUAAGGUACUGUGAAGGAAGUAUGAAAAAAGUGAAAAAAGUUGAAUAGUAAAUAUAAGUGGUUGUACCUUGUGUAUCAGGGAAGGUUUAAAUUAACUAGAGAGUUUAGAAAUCCCGAAGUAAUAACAGUUAAUUUCAUAAAAAAGUUUUUGUUGUAGAAAGAUUUUUAAUAUGAAAUUAAAGAUGAAAUAUUAUACGAGUUUUAUUCUAUCUGGUUGUCUAAGAAAUAAAUUUAAUUUAGGGUUUAAGUGUUUAUAAAAUUUAAGUUCUAAGAGUUGGAGGGCUUAGCUUCUAAUUUUGAAAUAUGUAAUAGUAAAUGAAAUAAUUUUUUUUCCUAGGCUUAGAAGUAGCCAUGGUAAUAAAGUGUUUUAACUAAAGGAUUUAUAGUAAGUUAUUUAUGUUUGUUUUAUGUAAUAUUAGACUAUUAGUUUUAAUAGCGUUAGCUGAGAUAUAAUGGUUUUAUUAGUAUAAUAAAUUAGUGUUUAUUUGGAAAAUCGAGAAAGUUGAUGGAAACAUUAAUAUAUUUUUUAGAUACAUUAAAGGAAUUCGGCAACAUAAUUCUUUGCCUGUUUAUCAAAAACAUGUCCGGUUGAAGAUAUAAUCGGUCUGGCCUGCUCACUGACAAAAGUUGUUUAAGAGCCGCGGUAUUUUGACCGUGCAAAGGUAGCAUAAUCAUUAGUUUCUUAAUUAGGAACUUGUAUGAAUGGUUGGACAAAAGAAAAGCUGUCUCUGUUGUAAAGGUUGAAUUUAACUUUUAAGUGAAAAGGCUUAAAUAUUUCAGGGGGACGAUAAGACCCUAUAAAGCUUUACAUAAUUGUUAAGUUUGACUGAAUUAAUAAGAUAAGUGUUUAGCUAAACUAUUAUGUUUUAUUGGGGCGAUAUAGGUAUAAAUUUAAUUAACUGCUUGAAUAACAUACAAUAAUAAGUGAGUAAAGGUAAAAGAUCCUUUUUAGAGAUUAAAAGACUAAGUUACUUUAGGGAUAACAGCGUUAUUUCUUUUGAGAGUUCCUAUCGAAAAAGAAGUUUGCGACCUCGAUGUUGAAUUAAAAUGUCUAUAUAGUGCAGUCGCUAUAAGAGAAGGUCUGUUCGACCUUUGAAAUUUUACAUGAUUUGAGUUCAGACCGGCGUGAGCCAGGUCGGUUUCUAUCUCCUGAGGAUAAAAAAUUACUUUAGUACGAAAGGAUUGAGUAGUUUAAAAGAUUUAAAGAUUGGGAU
rnacentral:rRNA from 1 species